UGCAGUCGAACGGUAACAGGAAGAAGCUUGCUUCUUUGCUGACGAGUGGCGGACGGGUGAGUAAUGUCUGGGAAACUGCCUGAUGGAGGGGGAUAACUACUGGAAACGGUAGCUAAUACCGCAUAACGUCGCAAGACCAAAGAGGGGGACCUUCGGGCCUCUUGCCAUCGGAUGUGCCCAGAUGGGAUUAGCUUGUUGGUGGGGUAACGGCUCACCUAGGCGACGAUCCCUAGCUGGUCUGAGAGGAUGACCAGCCACACUGGAACUGAGACACGGUCCAGACUCCUACGGGAGGCAGCAGUGGGGAAUAUUGCACAAUGGGCGCAAGCCUGAUGCAGCCAUGCCGCGUGUAUGAAGAAGGCCUUCGGGUUGUAAAGUACUUUCAGCGGGGAGGAAGGGAGUAAAGUUAAUACCUUUGCUCAUUGACGUUACCCGCAGAAGAAGCACCGGCUAACUCC
rnacentral:rRNA from 1 species